GACGUAGGGUGCAAGCGUUAUCCGGAAUUAUUGGGCGUAAAGAGCUCGUAGGCGGUUUGUCGCGUCUGCCGUGAAAGUCCGGGGCUCAACUCCGGAUCUGCGGUGGGUACGGGCAGACUAGAGUGAUGUAGGGGAGACUGGAAUUCCUGGUGUAGCGGUGAAAUGCGCAGAUAUCAGGAGGAACACCGAUGGCGAAGGCAGGUCUCUGGGCAUUAACUGACGCUGAGGAGCGAAAGCAUGGGGAGCGAACAGG
rnacentral:rRNA from 1 species